UGUGUAGGCGGUUGCGCAAGUCUGGUGUGAAAUCUUCACCGCUUAACGGGAAGAGGUCACUGGAAACUGCGUAACUCGAGUAUGGUAGAGGCAAGCGGAAUUCCUGGUGUAGCGGUGGAAUGUGUAGAUAUCAGGAAGAACACCGGUGGCGAAGGCGGCUUGCUGGGCCAUCACUGACGCUGAGACACGAAAGCGUGGGGAGCAAACGGGAUUAGAUACCCCGGUAGUCCACGCUGUAAACGGUGCGCACUAGGUGUGGGAGGUAUCGACCCCUCCUGUGCCGAAGCAAACGCAUUAAAUGCGCCGCCUGGGGAGUACGGCCGCAAGGUUGAA
rnacentral:rRNA from 1 species